rnacentral:lncRNA from 1 species
UGCUAUUUGCCAACCUGAAUCUGAGAAGAAGGUAAACAUAUAUCAUCUCCUUAUAUUAUUGGUAUUUAAAAUUAUCAUACCAAAUAGGAAAUGGGUAUGAUAGAAAACUAAUUUAACCAGAUCAUAUCAUAUCAUAUUAUCGAGUUCAUAGUUGCAUACCAUUGAUUUAAUGGCAAUCGUACUUCUAAAUAGCGCCGCUAUAGAGUCCAGCGCUAUGCCUUAGCCGGAUCUCGGGUGGAUCCUUACCCACAUCCGCCAGAAUAAAAUUAAAAAAUAUAUAUUUUAAAUGUGCUAGGGUUCCUCGAUGGGAUUUUCUUCCCACAGCUCUCUCUUCAGAGACCAGACCACUUCCCACUUUCCUAGAAACCUCCGACAAGCUAUGAUUUGCUCCCUUCCACUCCGAUGACCUCCAGCGAGCUGUUGUUUGGCGACCAGAACUUCGUUUUCUUCUUAUUUUAGCAAUAAACUCAUUUUCUAAAUGUUUCAUGUUCCAUGCUAUAUAUUUUAAUUUUUAAGAUGUUUAAUUUAUAGGUAUUGAUCAUUAUUAAUAAGUAGAAUAUGAAAUAAAAAUAAAACACUAUAGCGGAAUAGCCUCUAUAAUGCUAUAGCGGAAUAGCCUCUAUAAUGCUAUAGCUCUUUUAGCGACAGCUAUGCUGCUUUCCGCUAUUUAGAAGUAUGAUGCCAAUAGGUUUCAAAUGCUAGGUGUCACAUUAUUGAGUAGAUUUUCCACCGGUGAAUAUUCAGAGGUUACAUGAUACUUAUAUGUUACUAGUGGCUCUUCAAAAUCGAACCGUUCAAAGAAAGAGGUUAUGGUUUUAAAGUGGUAUCUUUUUCGAGACGAUAUCAUUUGAUAAAUGUUUGUUAUGUGCUUAUAAGUGUUUGCUUACCAUAUGAGC